CAUUACCGAGUUUACAACUCCCAAACCCCUGUGAACAUACCAAUUGUUGCCUCGGCGGAUCAGCCCGCUCCCGGUAAAACGGGACGGCCCGCCAGAGGACCCCUAAACUCUGUUUCUAUAUGUAACUUCUGAGUAAAACCAUAAAUAAAUCAAAACUUUCAACAACGGAUCUCUUGGUUCUGGCAUCGAUGAAGAACGCAGCAAAAUGCGAUAAGUAAUGUGAAUUGCAGAAUUCAGUGAAUCAUCGAAUCUUUGAACGCACAUUGCGCCCGCCAGUAUUCUGGCGGGCAUGCCUGUUCGAGCGUCAUUUCAACCCUCAAGCCCCCGGGUUUGGUGUUGGGGAUCGGCGAGCCCUUGCGGCAAGCCGGCCCCGAAAUCUAGUGGCGGUCUCGCUGCAGCUUCCAUUGCGUAGUAGUAAAACCCUCGCAACUGGUACGCGGCGCGGCCAAGCCGUUAAACCCCCAACUUCUGAAUGUUGACCUCGGAUCAGGUAGGAAUACCCGCUGAACUUAAGCAUAUCAAUAAGCGGAGGAAAAGAAACCAACAGGGAUUGCCCUAGUAACGGCGAGUGAAGCGGCAACAGCUCAAAUUUGAAAUCUGGCUCUCGGGCCCGAGUUGUAAUUUGUAGAGGAUACUUUUGAUGCGGUGCCUUCCGAGUUCCCUGGAACGGGACGCCAUAGAGGGUGAGAGCCCCGUCUGGUUGGAUGCCAAAUCUCUGUAAAGUUCCUUCGACGAGUCGAGUAGUUUGGGAAUGCUGCUCUAAAUGGGAGGUAUAUGUCUUCUAAAGCUAAAUACCGGCCAGAGACCGAUAGCGCACAAGUAGAGUGAUCGAAAGAUGAAAAGCACUUUGAAAAGAGAGUUAAAAAGUACGUGAAAUUGUUGAAAGGGAAGCGUUUAUGACCAGACUUGGGCUUGGUUAAUCAUCUGGGGUUCUCCCCAGUGCACUUUUCCAGUCCAGGCCAGCAUCAGUUUUCCCCGGGGGAUAAAGACUUCGGGAAUGUGGCUCUCUUCGGGGAGUGUUAUAGCCCGUUGUGUAAUACCCUGGGGGGGACUGAGGUUCGCGCAUCUGCA
rnacentral:rRNA from 1 species